AUUGGAGUAGCAAAGUAGGCAUAAUGCAAAAGACCUAAACCCUUUAACCAGGGGUUCAAUUCCCCUCCCCAAUA
rnacentral:tRNA from 1 species